GACGAACGCUGGCGGCGUGCUUAACACAUGCAAGUCGAACGGAAAGGCCCUGCUUUUGUGGGGUGCUCGAGUGGCGAACGGGUGAGUAACACGUGAGUAGCCUGCCCUUGACUUUGGGAUAACUUCAGGAAACUGGGGCUAAUACCGGAUAGGAGCUCCUGCUGCAUGGUGGGGGUUGGAAAGUUUCGGCAGUUGGGGAUGGACUCGCGGCUUAUCAGCUUGUUGGUGGGGUAGUGGCUUACCAAGGCUUUGACGGGUAGCCGGCCUGAGAGGGUGACCGGCCACAUUGGGACUGAGAUACGGCCCAGACUCCUACGGGAGGCAGCAGUGGGGAAUAUUGCACAAUGGGCGGAAGCCUGAUGCAGCAACGCCGCGUGCGGGAUGACGGCCUUCGGGUUGUAAACCGCUUUCGCCUGUGACGAAGCGUGAGUGACGGUAAUGGGUAAAGAAGCACCGGCUAACUACGUG
rnacentral:rRNA from 1 species